rnacentral:rRNA from 1 species
AUUGAACGCUGGCGGCAGGCCUAACACAUGCAAGUCGAGCGGAAACGAAGGGUGCUUGCUCCCAGGCGUCGAGCGGCGGACGGGUGAGUAACAUGUGAGAAUCUGCCCAUUAUUGGGGGACAACUCGGGGAAACUCGAGCUAAUACCGCAUAAUCCCUACGGUGGAAAGCGGGGGUCCUUUUGGCCUUGCGCUGAUGCAUGAGCUCACGUCGGAUCAGCUUGUUGGUGAGGUAAAGGCUCACCAAGGCGGCGAUCCGUAGCUGUCCUGAGAGGAUGGUCAGCCACACUGGGAGUGGUACACGGCCCAGACUCCUGCGGGAGGCAGCAGUGGGGAAUCUUGGACAUUGGGGGGAACCCUGAUCCAGCCAUGCCGCGUGGGCGAAGAAGGCCUUCGGUAUGUAAAGCACUUUUAGCAGGGAGGAAGGCGUUGGCCGAAUAAGUUGAAGUACUUGACGGUACCUGCAGAAGAAGCACCGGCUAAUUUCGUG